rnacentral:lncRNA from 1 species
CCUUGAUGCUUGGCUGGUUGGCUGCUUGGCCAGCUAUAAAUAUGUAUCCCCAACCCUUGGUUGGACAUGGUAUUGUGGAAAGAAAAACCCAGAAAAUUGCCCCAACUCUUCCUAGUGCCAUCCUCUCGAUGAGAGUUACAGUUCAGAUCCUAACAACAUACCGUACUAUCCUGUAGCCUGAACAUCUCCUGCUCACAACCCUCCCCAGCCACCUUUCGUCCCCAGCCGGUAGCAGAAGCACCGGCUGUCCCUGCUCACUCCUCUCCCUCUACGCAGACGAGCGGCAGCUCGUCGGAAGCAGCCUCUUCCCCACGCAGCCC